rnacentral:lncRNA from 1 species
UCUCGUAUAAGGCUAUGUUAUUUCUAUUAAAUAGGGAAGACAGUCCUAUUUUCUCAAACAUCAAGGAGCUAUGUACACCCAUAAAAUUUACUUCACAAUUGUACAACAUAAUGUGGAUUAUUGUGGGGAAAAAAUUGACAACGUGUUUUCUUGAAAAUGAAUAAAAUGAGGAGUAAAAUGUUAGUUAAUCUAAGUACGUAAAAACUGGAAAAUCACUCCCUGAGGAAACAUUUGCAGUAUUGUAACGCUGAAUACAAAGAAGAAAGUUCAAAAAAAUCAAUAAUUACUUUUAUUGGCCAAAUCCUGAAUAGGUAAUUGAGAGUGAAAUUCUCCGGUCUACUGCGAGCGACGUUGAAAUCUGAACAAUUAAUACUUUUACCUUUAAUGGAAUAUAUCUGUGGCCGCUAGACAUAUCAAAAAAAUAUUUUGUGACGAACUAUAACGCUAUAAUGUUUCCUUUAAUCUUCGAUGUUGCCCCCUCUGGCGUCCACGAUGGUCUCAAGAGGCCUCUUUAAGGCUUAGCACGUCCUUUUAUGCAUUAUUUGGACAUAUCGGUUAGGUGUUUGUUUACUGUGGCCCUCAUACCCAUGAUGUUUUCGUACUUAUGUCCACAGGUCCUGAAAUCUACACACAACCAGAAAGCAUAGUCCAGAAGUUUUGUGUCGGGUGAAUACGUGUGCCAUAUUUCUUCUGGCCAGAAAUUAAUUUUAUUGAAGAAUAUUUUUUGCAGCUGUGGUAGUGCAGGCAUGAGUGCCGUCUUGUUACAAUACCAAAUCAUAUCCGGGGAGUUAUUCCGAAAUCACGGGAGGAAGUAAGCCUCCCAAUUGUACUUCCAGAAUGAAGAAAUGCACGAAUUUCACUUGAAUAACACAUCUAGACGCAAUUUUCUUUAUAAGAGAUAAUCAAAUGAAAUGUCUACAUAGUUUUAUGAAAUGUUUAGUUUGUAUAACUGUAUUUACGUACGUUUCUAAACAAGUCACCAAAAUCCGCAAAAUUUCCAAUAACUUUGUCUUCUGAGGCUUUAGAAUCGCACCUGGUAUAAUUUUGAUCGGGGGAUUAUAAUAUAAACUUAUUAUAUUAAUAUCAUAUUAUCUUAAUUGACAACUAUAAAACAUUGAAAAUUAUUAGCUCAACAUCAUGAAAUGUUUAGUUAUUUAAUUAUCCGAAAUGUUAUUUUGGCUCAUUUUAUGAAUUUCUAACUCAUUUUUUUACUGUUGCAGCAUUCUAUUUACGAUUUGCGUUCAUAUAUAAUUUAAUAUAAGACUAUUGACGAGUAUAAUUU